CAGCAAGUGAGUGAAUCAGUGAAUCGGGAAAACAGAACCACUGACUUAGCACUGGUCAUGGCCUCCAAGCGAGCAAAGAAGUAGUAUUUGUGUUCCAAAAGUCAAAUAUAACUUUUUUGGAAGCUACGGGGACUUGUCCAAGACAGCUAGGUAUUCCUAAGUGUGUGCAGUUCAAAUACUUCUUUUGUGAUAUUAUAGUUAUAUUUAUAAAAAUAUAUUGAUGUUAUCACAUUUGAAUACAUCAAAGUGAUUUGCAUGUCAGCGAUCCAAAUGGAAGAGAAACCUCAUAAACUCAAUCUUAAGUACUUCAUUAAACUCUUCAUUUACCUCUUCAUUUACCUCUUCAUUUUGGUGUAUAUGUACAUAUAUAAAGAUGGCUUUCAAGAAUGUGGCCCAUGUCAGCGGAUAUCUUAGGAAUUGUUGUGACAACACUGGGAGAAUGUUCGAAAAACGAAUGGAAAAGGAUAAUAGCUGCGCCUUUAAGAGUUAAUUAUUCAAAUGGAAACAUUUAAGGCAUUCAAAUCUUUCGAUUUAAUUGGCAUCAUUUUAAGAAAUUCAAUUUCACUUUGCAUUUUCCCGUAUUAGUGAAAUACCAAAAUCCCCAUUCGCCGCCUUUGUACAUGUGCAAAAUGGCGGGGAAUGGAAUGAAGGUUGCGUGGGUGGUUGUGUUGGUUUGGUUGGAUGCUCCGCCUCCGCAGGACUCUUUAUACAUUUCCCAGUCCUGCCAUUUUCGAGAUACAUCAAAAACUACAUGCAAGAACAACAAGAACAACGAGAACAACAUGAUUAUCAUGGAGUCGCAACAGAAAUCAAGUGAAUGUCCCUUGAUGCUGAAGAUAUACUCAAAACUCAUCGCAAAAUGAAAAGUAAAAAAUAAAAUAAGGAUACACAUAUAUAGAGAGCGUAGUGGGGGGGUGCGACGGGCAAGUUGCCGGAUGGAAGAAGGUAGAAAUGGAAAAAAUGUCGCCCUGCUGUUUCCGGAAAAGUGCUCGGGGCGCACAUAUGUCAACUUUUUGUGCCGCUGCCUUUGCCUUUGCCUUUGCAGUUCCGCAUUCGCAUCCGCAUCCGCAUCGGGAUCCGCAUCUUGCUGUGCUCUUCCAUCCCGCUUCCACACGCACACUUUGUGACAAGUUUAGCGAGAACUUUUUUGACGGCACGCAGGACUCGGGCCGAAAACAGGACGAAAAAGGACGAAGGGCAAUGCGGCGCACUUGAAGAGCGGCACAACUUGAAAUUGGAAACUUUUGAAUGUCCCUCUUAUCAAAAUCGUAUAAUUUGAAUGUAAUUUGCAACUGAAAAGGGGCGAUAGCAUGCGGCCUCUCCGCAUUUCCGGCUCAUGAUCCCGUUCCCCUCAACUCCAUCCUCAUCCUCAUCCUCCAGCGACUUCGUCCUUCGUCCUUGCUCCUUGGUCCUUCGCAAAGGCUGACCAUGCGUGAACGCAGGCGAGGAAGGACGAAUAGCUGAUGGAUGGAUGGAUGGAUGGUCGCCAGCUUGGGCUGCUCGCAGCACUGCGGUGAAGUCAAUGAAACGACAGGUUGCUAAAUCUUUAAUGGCCACCGGGUGCGGAGACAAAAGCUUUUAAAAGCCCGAUAAGCACCAGCCAAAAGGCAACGUUAAGGGGCUAUUUAUGGCGAAAACUUGAGUCCUUUAUCAAUUCUGGUUAACUGUCCGAUUUGAUCACAAUAUUCAAUUAAUGACAAAUUUGACAAAGUUUUGAGGCAGAACCUAGUACACAUUUGUGUGUGUUUGCUCGGAACUUUUUCAUUGGAUUAAAUUAAUUGUUGCCAGAUUUUGCAGUAACAAAACAGAAAGUUUCUUAGGUGAGCGUGUAAUGUAAAUUAUCCAAAAAAUAUAUAUAAUAUUUGAAGUUAAUAUACAGAUAUAUCCUGAUAUAUGAUGGUAUUAUGCUUAUGAAUUUGUAUUCAAUUGUAUUUAAUUUAACUAUGAUUAAGACGACUUUUUCAAUCACUGAGAUGGAGAGAUAUAUGAUGGGGUUAUAUUUAUGAGUUUGCAUUCAUGAGUUGAGGUUAAACACACAUGAUUACUUAACCUGCCUCACUUGAUUACCCAAUUGUAUCCAUUUAUUCGAUGCCGCUUGCCUUUCCUGAGCUCUCCAACCCAUUGGCGACCCAUUUGAAUGCUCGGAUAUGAUUAGCCCACUCGGAAUGCCAAGGCCAACAAUGGGCAGAGAUAGAGGUGCGGAUAAGACGCGCUGAGCAUGAAAAGCCUGACCCGGACAAAGCAGUGCAUCCGCAUCCGCAUAGGCCUACGCCUCAUCACCAGCAUCAUCACCAGCAUCAUCAUCAUCAUCAUCCGUAUCCGCUUAGCAGUGCCGGCGACCGCAAUCCAACUAGCAGGAUUAGCCCAGCCUUUUACCCCACCCCACCCGAGAACUUGCAAACCUUGCAAGCCAUCCAACACAACCCAUUCCAAUCCAUGCAAACCUCAUCCCCUGCGACUGCUCACCCCUCGAACAAUUUGCCAACGCACCAGCACCAGCAAACAAAUAGCGAUGAUGACAACAAUUUAAAAUCCAUCAAGAGCACAAAAAGGCCUCAUUAAGUCAAGAGGGUGACGACGGCGAUGGGAUGGGCGUGGAACCCACACCCACACCCACAUCCACACCCCCAUCCACAUCCAUACCCACACCCGAAUCCGAACCAGAACCCGAAUCCGAAUCCGCAUCUGAAUCUGAGUCUGAAUCCGAACCACUUCGCCAACGCCUCGGUGCGGCAGAAUGGCAAAAUGUAAGCAUAAGACACAAUAGUAAUUAUUGCCUAAAUAAUUUCAAAUGAAGCUCAGCACACGGGCAGUUGAACCUCACCCUCACCCUCAUACUCAUCCUCAUCGUCGUCCUUCUGCGUCCUCGUCUCGAUGGGGUGGCAACUUGGCCAGAAAGGGUGGCGGCACUCCCGGUGGUCCUGCACAAGUGCACUACACGUCCGAUUUCAAUUGGGACGUUUCCAUCCACAUCCUCAUCCACAUCCACAUCGACAUCUUUCCAAUUCGCCUGUCAACACAGCCGACCUUCAAGCGCGCUGAUCGAGAUCUAUAAAGUCGAUUAAUAGGUAUUUCCUUAUAAGAUCAGCAUUGCAUUACGACCACAUUUCAUUACUGUAUUGUUAGUGAAUAUAACUUGAUUCCAAGGAAAAUAGUAGAAUUCCAAAUGAUAGUAUACUUACAGUGAUAAGCUAUGUCCGUCCGUAUAGCUUUGUCCGCUUGUGCGUCCGUUUCUAUCUUUCCUAGUUUUAAGUUGAUCUUUUACAGUCACUAAAGAGGUCGAAACAGAUAAGACAAUCUAUAAUAUUCUAUUAAGGAAUAUAAAGCAAUCAAAAGCUGAACAAGAUUAUAAUUCUUAUUAAAUCAAACUUAAAUAGAAAGAAAGAGAAUAAGGAACUUAAACUGAUACUAAUGACGAAACUUUCAAUGUCCGUUUGUUGUUUUUAAGCAUUGCAAAGGUUUCCCUUCCAAGCUAGGAUUUUGUAUUUAGGAAUGCCAAGUUGGUGAUGAGUGCAUAAGCAGACCCUAAUCCGCGAAUUCAAAGAGCAUUUGCAAUCGGAGAAGUCAAAUCCCUAAAUAGGCACUCCAUUCGCCCUAAUCCAAGUGCGCAUAUGCUCGAUUUGGCGUUCAGGCGCCGACGCGUUCGCAUUUCGAAAGGGUAGGGGAAUUGGACUUGGAUUUGGAAUGAGAAUGGGAAUCGGAAUCGGAACGGGGAUGGAGAUGCACUAGAGCACUGGGACGGACCACCAGGAGCUGCCGGGAGUCGUCCUUUCAAGUGACUGCGAUAGCCAACACCUCGGGGUGUCGCUCUAAAGCGCACAUUUGUCGCUCCGAAGGGGAAGGAGCUGCGACUUGGGAUAUCCUGGAGGACAGGGCUUCCUGAUGGACAACUGCGUGAAUCAGGACCAGCGACUGGCAUCUCCAAUGCCUUGUCUCUGGGGGUGGUUCCUUCACUCCACUCCACUCCACUCCACAUCAAUCCACUCCACUUCGUCCGAUUCCACCCGCCAAUGCCAUUGCCAUUGCCACUGCCACUGACUAUUCAAUUCAUUCCAUGCCAAUCCCUCCCUGCGAUUUCGACUUCUAUUCCACUGCCGAUGCCGCCUGCACUUGCCCUAAUGUGUCGAUGUCAAUGUGCUGGUAAUUCGAGUAGGCAAGGACACGUCCUGGGAUGUGCCUCUUUAGCGUCGGAUGGCAAACAAUUGUGAAAUUGUAACAACCAUUCACUCACCCAGCCGCGUUGUGUCGAGUUGAACUGAACUGAACUGAAGGACAACAAAGAGUCACUGCGAUAACAGCCAAAUGAAGAUCAAAUGAAUUGUGGAAUUAUGCCACAAAAAUUCGAAAUCAAUUUGCACAUGUGUUCCUGCCUCCUGCCAGCUCCUCCUCCUGCCCAGUUCCAGUUCCAUGCCCAUGCCCAUUCCUCUUUUUGUUGGCGCAACUUCUGCGACUGGCAAAUUAAGUCAGUUUGGUUGGGCUAUUUGUAUACUUUGCACUUGGAGAAAAUACGUUAGAACUACGCUAAAAAUUUUGCAAUUUAAUUUGUGUUAAUUUCUUGAAGUAUUUGUUGCUAUUUAUGAAAUAAUUAGCUAAGCAGCUGUAUUCCAAAAAGAGUCGAUCUAAAAAAGCUUUUCAUAUUUUACAUAUUUUCAUAUACCUACCUAAAUAUCUUUAUAACUGAUGUGAUACAAAUGUAUUUAAUUUAAAUGUCAAUUUCCAUUAUUAAUUAUCUCUGUGGCUUGAGAACAAAUUAAGGACAAAGUUUUAAGGUGCUGAAGCUUACAUCAAUGUUCAUGAUGGUGAUUAUGCAAUCGCUUUAAGGGAAUCCUCCACAGGACUCUACCUCCAUUCGAUGAAUGCCCACUUGCCGGCGAAGAGCUUGUUUUGCUGGCAUUGUUUGGCCACCAAGGAUGAACGAGGCUCCCCCAGGAUGCCCCAGGAUGCAGUCGUGGCAGUCGAGGCAGCCGAAGUUCGAGGUCCUUCCGCAGCAGGUGUGGGUCCACCUGGUCCUUUGGGCGCUCUCCUCCUUGCUGUGAGCGGGUGCGUGCGUUGACGUCAGCGCAAUGCCUUUGUUUGUCGGCAUGCGGAUGGCGUACACGUCCACAUCCGCACACACACACGCAUCUGUAUCCGCGACCCCUGACCCUCCCCAGCGGCCUUGCCCCCGGCCAUUAGCCCUCCAGGAUGGGCAGGAUGGGCAGGACAUCACCCAAUUUGCUGCGACACGUGCCUCCACUUGGCCGUCCAGCAACAACAACAGCAACAAGAGCAAACAACCAGCAACAGGAGCAGUCAAGGAGUCAAAAGAAGUCAAAAACCGUGUCACGUGUGCGGCUGUGUUCGCUAAUUUCGUCACCUCCUCUUUUUUCCAGGAGCUUCCUAAUUUCGCACGGAAUGACAAUGCUCGGCACUAAAUACCUCGUCCACCUCAUCCCCCCCAUCCACCUCAGCCCUCACCUUGUCCAAGGACUCGAAAAAGAAAAAAAAGGAGUGCCACGCCCACAACAUGCGAAUAAAGUUCGCAUUCCCAAUUUUCAUUGGGAUUGUUCGUUCGGUGGGAAGUGGAAAGUGUCUGUGUGAUUUUUCCGGGUUCACGUGUAUAUGGGUCACGCUUUGAGUGGCAAAAUCUAUUAAACUUAUUCAAUGCAAUCAUUUUAUUUGUUUCCGAUUCCCCCUUUAAAAGCACGCGACCAAGAUAACCGGAUAAGCCAGAUUAUUUGAAGAUGCCUUGGGGAACCAAAAGGACCACAAAGAUACCUCACUUUGAGUAGUAGACUAAUAGCAAUAGGUUCCUUAAAUGUUUGACUUUGAAGAGGUUUUUGUAUAAAUAGCUUCAUUUUUAGUUACUUUUAAGCCUAAACUAAUAAAUAUUAGAAACGAAUAUUUACAUACAGAGAAGUAUUUCUACAUCGAACUAGGGAUAUCAUAUAUUAGAAUCAACUGAGACUUGAGCUGAUUAGCAGCUGUCGCGUUUUAGAGGCCUGAAUUAGAGCAUAUUGUAUAUUGUAUUGCCUAAUUAACAGAUACCUGGUUUUCGGGGGCGGUGGGCGUUCAGGGGGCGGGUCUCCUUCUAAGUGGGUCGCUUGUAGUGCGGCCCAUUGUCCAAGGACACGUGUCAUGUGGCAGCUGGAGCUGGAGCUAGUGGAGUAGAGAUGUAGAGAUGUAGAGGAGUGGCGGAUGGCUGCCACAUCCGUGCAGCUGAAUGGCCCUGUAAUUGAAUGAACUCGAGCUUCCUGCUGCCCAGGCAUUAUUUUCAAGCUUAGCCCAUUGUUGGCCAUACGAAUGAUAUUUUGGAAUGAUUUCAGAGGACCUGGGAAAGAAGUCAUCUUGGUAUUAUGGCAACAAGUUUCCGGGACUUCGUACUGUAUGACAGACUAUAUAUACAAUACGAAGCCUCUGAAAUUUUCUGCGCUCAAGUACCAAAAACUACCAGCAAACCAACGAAACUGGAGAACUACGGACGGCAACUAUGAAACUGAAACCACACAUCCAACAAUAUCCAGCAAUAUUGAAUUCUUGACUUUAAACACUGCCUACAUACUGUAUGUGUUUUGCACCCGAUACAGAUGUGGGGGUCGUUUGCAAUCAGAGAUUCCGCAGGCUACGAGGAUCGGGAGAUCGGGAGUUUGGAGGAGGCAUUGAAGUUCCAGAGGUGAGUGAGAAUCGCAUGCAGUGCCACGACAUUGGUGAGGGCAUCUCCAAUGGGGACCCGGCAUCAUUGGAUUAGUUCUCAUUAAUGCCGGAGCACUGCACCUACCAACUUCGCACGGUUCCUAUUCCUAUUCCGAUUCCGAUUCGGAAUCAACCAAGUGCGGACAGCUCAGAGUUCACCCCAAGGUAUGGCCUAGAUAACACGGGUAUCACAUCUUUAUGCAUUCGAUAUCUGGUGAGAUAUUCACGUUGUCUAAACCAUGUUUUGUAAGGAAAUGCACUCUGCUCAUCAGUUAAACUACUAAGAUUUCAUAUACCAACAAGGAAGGCAGAAGAAAGGGAUUCCCUGCUAUCAGAUACCCUUUACUCAGACAGUGCGCGUCAGUCCACGUAGUGACGAAGUGCACCGAAACAAGUGAGACACCAAGUGAGACACCAAAUGAAGUUAUCACCAAAAGGACGUUGAAAAGAGCAGGAGGCAACCGGCGGAGGAAGAGCACCCAAUGUUGAAUCUCCAUGGCAGCCAAACGUGGAACCAAAACCUCAGCUAUGAAAAUGAUUCGAUAAGUAAACAA